rnacentral:lncRNA from 1 species
GGGUCUAAAAUGUGUAGUCUAAUGUUAUCAACGAAUCAAGUCAACAAAGUCAACGCCAUCAAGACAAAGUCAACACGCAAGUCGACACGAGAAGUUCGAAGAAAGAUAUGACGUGUGAAAGAUCGAGACUGGAUAGUUAUAGUGCUUUGGAUAAUUAAAUAUAUUUUGAUUUAAACAAAAUAUAUUUAUUAUCUUGUUUUAUUAGUCUUGAUGUUUAUUGCUACUUUUAGUAAGUUUUAAUCUCUAGGGACUUAAUUGUAAUUAGCCAAAAAUGGUAAGGCUAUAAAUAGAUAGAGAUGAUUAGAGUUUUGGGGAACACACAUGCUAGAUAGAUUUGGGGGGCUAAUUGUAUUCAACUUUUGCAAAUCAAUCUAAGGGUUUUAUUGUUACAUUUUUAGUGUGUUCAUCUCAUUUCUAUAUCAAAAUCAGAUUUUUGGCUCGAUUUGAUCCUACAAUUUGGUAUCAGAGCUUGGUACUCGAAUUUGGGAUUCAACAAUCUUCAAAUUCAUCAUAAAAAAAUCUGAUUUUUAUUUGAAAAAGUUUUGAAGUUUUUAGGGUUUUUGAUUUUAUUCACUAUUUCUUCAAAAUCUUGUGUUUAAAAGGGUUUAAAAUGUUUGCUUGUUGAUUGAGAGCUGAUAAAAGUGUCAUUAGAAAGAUUUAGAGUCAUCUUUCAUAUCAUUUUGGGGGUUUCAAACAGAUCUGGGAGUUUAUAUUCAAGAUCUGGGCGUUUUUAUUUAUGAAUACAGCGAUUUUAUUUUGAACACAGCAAUUUUAUUGAAAGUUCCGGCGAAUUUGAGUUUUCCGGUGACUUUCCGGCGAAGUUAAAAAUUCCGGCAAACUUUUCCGGCGAAAUUAAACCUUGAACGCGAGUUCAAGUUCUCCGACGUAUUAAAUACGCCGGUAAGUUACCGUUUUUCGGAGUCGUUACUCCGGCGAUUUUAAGUAAAGCCGGCGAAAUUAUUAAAAGAAAAGAGUAGAAACAGAAGGUUUUAGGAUUGUAUUGUUUGUUUUGAGCCACACAUCACCACAUUACCCCCAAACUUCCGCCCACCCAAAGAAUCGUUCUUGGCACACAUCACCACUGAAACCACCCUCAUAAAAAUUUAAAAAAAAAAAAAAAAAAAAAAAAAAAAAAAAAGAUCAAGAUCAAGAACUGUUUUCUUCAACAUUAGCUACAAUCUCCAUUCCAAAAGAACCAUCAAGAUUUUCGUUUGCUUUCAUAAGUUCAGCAACUGCAGCUGUUAUCUUGGGUUUACCAGCUUUAUUAGACUUUAAUUUGGCAACUAUCUCACCUUUUUCCUUCACAACACUUCUGGCCAAAUCCACAUCUUGUGUAGGAGGAUUCUUGAUUAGUUCUUUUUCUACCUUUCACUCCUCCGACCACCACUCCGACCAACAUAACCCCGUCAUUAUACGCCACAGCUCACAGCCGCAACACAUCCUUCGACCACCAUCUCCACCACUGAAACAACUUCCGCUAUAGACCACCACCAUCCCCAUCUCCACCGACCGCCGCACCACUCACAACCGAACGUGCAAACGCCGCCGUACCCGCUCCAUCACCUUAACUCCGACCGCCAUACACCGUCGGAGAUCGUUACAUCACCAUCUCCGAUUACCACCACCACCACGAUUUCGAGUUCGCCGUUCCGCUCACCGAACACCACCCCCUUUCCUCCACGAACCACCGAACAUCGCCAUAAAAAAAAAAGCCACUCGAACACCACAUCCACUCGCCGCCCCUUCUCUUUUGUUCGAUCUGUGCGCUGCCACAUGGUGGUGGCCAUCCUCCACCUCUCUCUCAUUCAAAUGAAAAGGGUUUGA